GGCGGGACUUCCGCCGCCAGCUGAGGGCGGGGUACCCGUCUGUGCUCCUCCCUGUGCCUGUGGGCGGUCUUCGCCGGGGGCGGUAGCUGCUUCGGGCCGGGUGGCUCUGAACGCCGCGGAUGGUGUUGGUGCUUCUCCGGGGCGCCUGGAGAGCGGGAUCCAGGCAAGGCGGAGGAGGGGGCUUUGUGCUUGCAGACAUCAGGGCUCAGUGCUGUGGCAGCAAGCAGUGAAACAGCAAUAGCUCAGUCCCAGGACCCCUGCAGUGCCCAGGCUCUCACUCCAGCACAGCGAGCAAUGCCAGGAGCUGCCUGUG